GUUUAUUAUGUGCCAAAUUUGGUGCUUGGUGCUUAUACCAAUUGAUGAAAUAUUAUUAUUAUUAGUAGCAGUAGUAGGUGAUGUAAAUAUUUUACCAAAAAAUCUAAAUAAAAAAUAAUGAGCAUUAACCUUUAAAUAUCAACUAACCAAACAGAACAAUGUGCAUAGGAGAACAUAAAUGUAGCUUAGAUUUUUUUGUCCUAAACAUUUUUAAAUCUCUAUUUAAUAAAAUGUAUGUUAUUGGAGAUAAAUUUUAAUCACAGUCACUCAAUUCGCUAAUUGUCUCAUUUUAAUAAUCUUAGA
rnacentral:misc_RNA from 1 species